UACGUAGGGGGCAAGCGUUGUCCGGAAUCAUUGGGCGUAAAGCGCGUGUAGGCGGCCAGAAAAGUCCGCCGUGAAAACUCGAGGCUCAACUUCGAGCUGUCGGUGGAAACUUUCUGGCUAGAGUCCGGAAGAGGAGAAUGGAAUUCCUGGUGCAGCGGUGAAAUGCGCAGAUAUCAGGAAGAACACCCGUGGCGAAGGCGGUUCUCUGGGACGGUACUGACGCUGAGACGCGAAAGCGUGGGGAGCGAACAGG
rnacentral:rRNA from 1 species